rnacentral:tRNA from 4 species
GCGUCCGUAGCUCAGUUGGUUAGAGCACCACCUUGACAUGGUGGGGGUCGGUGGUUCGAGUCCACUCGGAUGCACCA